rnacentral:rRNA from 1 species
GACGAACGCUGGCGGCGUGCUUAACACAUGCAAGUCGAGCGGACAGGCCUGGUUCUUGGUGUACUCGCGUGGCGAACGGGUGAGUAACAAGUAAGUAACCUACCCAUGUCUUUGGGUUAACUUAAGGAAACUAGGGGGAAUAAAGGCUAGGAGCUCCUGUUGCAUGGAGGGGGUUGUAAUGUAUCGGCGGUUGGGGGUGGGUUAGCGGCUUAUCAGCGUGUUGGUGGGGUAGUGGCUUACCAAGGUCUUGACGGGUAGACGGCCAGAGAGGGUGACCGGCCACACUGGGACCGAGAGACGGCCCAGACACCUACGCGAGGGAGAAGUGGGGAAGACUGAAGGAGCGGUGGAAGCCUGAUGCUGCAACGCUGUGGGCGGGAUGACGGUGUUAGGGUUGUAAAACGAAUUUGUUAAUGACGAAGCUCUGCGUGACGGUAGUGGGUAAAGAAGCCACGGCUAACUACGUG